rnacentral:lncRNA from 1 species
GCAGGUGAGGGGGGCGUGCGGCGUGGGCGUGGUCCGCCAUUGUCGGGGCUCCUUCUCUCUCUCUCUCUCUCUCUCUCUCUCUCUCUCAUCCUCUGCUCCAUGCAUACAGUUUGGUGAUGGAGAUUAGCUAGCUAGGGUUUUGGGAUUAAUGGAGGGACGAGGAGUUUCAUGGGCGUCGGUACGUCCGUGCGGUCGAUCUCGUCGGCCGGGCACGCGUGCAGGGGCGAUGUGAAAGCAGUUCUUGGCCUAUCGUUUUCCUAGCCUGCACUCCGAUCCUUGGGAAUGCAAGGACUCCAUGCAUGAGAUCUUGUCGGUGCCCCCACGGCUGUUUCAUCGGCAGAGAAUUUAACAUUUAACACCGGCUCUCUUGAAGGUUGUUGAGAGCUUGCCUCUGUUUGCAUCACGUUGGAGUAGCUUUGAUGAUCGGCCAUGCAGAGUCCGCUUAGGCUGGUGAAAGGUACUCCGUAGUACUGUACAUUCUACUUGCGCCCUGCUUGUUUAGUUCAUUCUCGAAAUGUGGUUACUGAUAGCACGCGGUGGAUUCCGUUGGUACAGCUUCUGCUUAGACUGUAAAAGGAACUAUGGACUUCAUUUUCAAUAUACUUGUUGUAUAGUGUGGACAAUAAUUAAAGAGGGCAAAGGACCAUCCUAUUUGUUGUAUAGUGUACACAUCUAUGUUUUUUUUUCCUUAAGAUAUUAUGCCAACUCACUCUAAAAUGUGCAUGGGGCAGAAUAAGAAAACAUAGGUAAAAGUUACCUUGGAGUUGUAGAACAAGUAUAGCAAAAAAAAAAAGGUAGAAGAAGCUAUUAAACAAUAAGUACGUAUUAUGAAAUGAUUUUACAUCCUUGAAUACUGAUGGCCUAUUUGGAUUUCGUAUGCAUUAUAAGAAUCUCGAUAGUGGAUAAGGAUCAUUCUGGCUAAUAAUAAUCAGUGCUGUUUAGAUUUCUAGAUUAUCAUAUACUCCCUCCGUCCAAAUUAUAUGUCAUUUAGCUUUUUUAGAUGCAUAGAUAUUAUUAUGCAUCUAGAUAUAGGGUAUAUAUCUAAGUGCA